rnacentral:rRNA from 1 species
AGCGGCAGGUUAGGUAGUAAUACUUGACCUAGAGCGGCGCGCGGGUGCGUAACGCGUAUGCAACCUACCUUUUACUGGGGGAUAGCCCGGAGAAAUCUGGAUUAAUACCCCAUAGUACCUAAGGAUCGAUUGGUUUUUAGUUUAAAGAUUUAUCGGUAAAAGAUGGGCAUGCGUCUGAUUAGCUAGUUGGCGGGGUAACGGCCCACCAAGGCGACGAUCAGUAGGGGUUCUGAGAGGAAGGUCCCCCACACUGGCACUGAGAUACGGGCCAGACUCCUACGGGAGGCAGCAGUAGGGAAUAUUGGGCAAUGGUCGCAAGACUGACCCAGCCAUGCCGCGUGCAGGAAGACGGCCCUCUGGGUUGUAAACUGCUUUUAUCUGGGAAGAAAAAGUCCAUGCGUGGAAAAUUGCCGGUACCAGAUGAAUAAGCACCGGCUAACUCCGUGCCAGCAGCCGCGGUAAUACGGAGGGUGCAAGCGUUGUCCGGAUUUAUUGGGUUUAAAGGGUGCGUAGGCGGCUGAAUAAGUCAGCGGUGAAAGACUUCGGCUUAACCGGAGCAGUGCCGUUGAUACUGUUUAGCUUGAGUGUUGGAGGGGUACAUGGAAUUGAUGGUGUAGCGGUGAAAUGCAUAGAUACCAUCAGGAACACCGAUAGCGAAGGCAUCGUACUGGCCAACAACUGACGCUGAGGCACGAAAGUGUGGGGAUCGAACAGGAUUAGAUACCCUGGUAGUCCACACUGUAAACGAUGAUUACUCGCUGUUAUGCUGUAUAGUGUAGCGGCCAAGCGAAAGCGUUAAGUAAUCCACCUG